GAUGAACGCUAGCGGCAGGCUUAAUACAUGCAAGUCGAGGGGCAGCAUGAUUGUAGCAAUACAAUUGAUGGCGACCGGCAAACGGGUGCGGAACACGUACACAACCUUCCAAUAAGUGGGGAAUAGCCCAGCGAAAUUUGGAUUAAUACCCCGUAACAUAACGAUGUGGCAUCACAUUGGUAUUAUAGAUUUUUCGCUUAUUGAUGGGUGUGCGGCUGAUUAGAUAGUUGGCGGGGUAACGGCCCACCAAGUCUACGAUCAGUAGCUGAUGUGAGAGCAUGAUCAGCCACACGGGCACUGAGACACGGGCCUGACUCCUACGGGAGGCAGCAGUAAGGAAUAUUGGACAAUGGACGCAAGUCUGAUCCAGCCAUGCCGCGUGAAGGAUUAAGGUCCUCUGGAUUGUAAACUUCUUUUAUAAGGGACGAAAAAAGGCUUUUCUAAGUCGUCUGACGGUACCUUAUGAAUAAGCACCGGCUAACUCCGUGCCAGCCGCCGCCGUAAAAC
rnacentral:rRNA from 1 species